UGUAAGCACAUGCCUUAAAACGGUUAAGCCGCGAAUGGCUCGGUAUAACAGCCACUGUUUAUUAAACUCUAGUUAUCUACUUGGAUAACUGUGGCAAUUCUAGAGCUAAUACAUGCACGCAGGCUCGGACCUUUUGGGAAGAGCGCAUUUAUUAGACCAAAACCAAUCGGGCUUCGGCCUGUGUUUUGGUGACUCUGAAUAACUCAGUCGAUCGCACAGUCUUAGUACUGGCGACGUAUUUUUCAAAUGUCUGCCUUAUCAACUUUCGAUGGUAGGUUAUACGCCUACCAUGGUUAUAACGGGUAACGGAGAAUUAGGGUUCGACUCCGGAGAGGGAGCCUGAGAAAUGGCUACCACAUCCAAGGAAGGCAGCAGGCGCGCAAAUUACCCAAUCCCAGAACGGGGAGGUAGUGACGAAAAAUAACGAGGUAAUCCACUUUGUGGCUUGCCAUCGGAAUGGGCAC
rnacentral:rRNA from 1 species